GCGUCCGUAGCCCAACGGGAGAGGCACCGGUUUCAGGAACCGGGUGGUGCGGGUUCGAAUCCCGCCGGACGUA
rnacentral:tRNA from 1 species